UGCCAGGUCUUAACAUGUUGAUGAUAACGGUCUAUUUUUUUCAGCGGUUUGAUGUACUUUCCACGUGGGUUAGUUUGUUUCUACAUCUGACGCUCACCCUGGGAGAGGUUCCUGGGACCUACCUGCGACCACGAGCUCCAGGCUGAAGGAGUUGUGUCCAGCCCGGUUGGUGGCCACGCACGUGUAGACGCCGGCGUCCCGGGCCGUGACGGGCUCGAUGACCAGAGAGUGCACCCCGUUCUCUCGCACCAGCAUCUUGUGGGUGCUGUCCUGGCGGACGGGCUUGCCAUCCAGCAGCCAGCUCAGAUCGGGGGUUGGCAGCCCACUGACCUAAACCGGAAAGGAAAUGCGAAUGAAUUCCUCUGCUACGGAAACAGUGAGGUCACGAACACCUAAGACACCGGCACAAACUCCUCCUUCCGGACAACAUGAGGCUCUUAGCAUCAGGCCCACACACCCGAUGAGACCUGCUCACCCCAGGACCUGAUUAAGAAGCCCUAUUGUAAAGCAACGGAAUGAAGGUGCUGCUCAGAUGUCUCUCAGAAACAGGAAAUGGGAGGCCUGAGAGAGCAGAUUUUGUGCAUCUUUCUUGCUUCUGAGUAUGCUGCCAGAGCCGCCUUGAAGAGCAACAUGAUUUAAAGUGACUGCAGGGAAGACUUAGGAGCGAGGUGUUGAAACUAACCCUGCCGGUGAUCAUUGGAAGCCUUCACCCGUCAGGUCUCAUUGAUGAGCACAAUGCCCUUCCAGGAGACGGUGGCCCACGAACGGCUGAAAUGCACGGAAGGCCCCGAGUAAAGCCGGAGAGAAUGGACCUGCUAUAGCUGUGCUGUGCUCACGGACGCGGGGGCAGGUGAUGCUGUGAGCAAGUCCCGCCCCGGGAAGCCGGCAUCAAACCUGCGAGCGCUGAGGCCGCAGCUGCCUCCCAAACACCGGCGCAAGCCCGUGCGGGGCGUGGACCCGGCCGCUGCUGCUUGCCGGGUCCUCCUCCGGUGGCCUCGCUGGUGUGUCCUCCCCUGCGCCGGGCCCGGGGACCGGCCGGCCCAAUCACCGGCCCCUUCUGUAGCCACGUGUGUCACUGAGAACCGCAGCCCCGCUGCCCGUCCUCACGUGCACUCGCUCGGGGCCACGGGGCAACGAAAGCGUCCAAAGUACGGCAAGUCUGACCUACGAGGCUAGGGUCUGAGACAAGCUUGUGACCUAAGCGACCGGAGGAGGAACCUUCGCACACGAGCUGAUGUUAGGAAACCCAGAGGGCAGCCCACGUGAUGCUGGUGAGGAAAGCGUGGCUAGAGCCUGGGUGCCACCGACCAGCGUGUCCGUGGUGACGUGGCUGCCGCGCGGUGCGGCUUCCGGCCCCGCUCACACGCGGCACGUGUCGGAGGGCGCUGGGCCCAGCCGGUACGUCCUCCUCCCCACCCCCAGCUACAAAGGAGCCACACGCCGCCACGCUUCCUGCCGUGUCCCCAUCCUGUCCCCCAAGUACGUUCUCUCCUGUGGUAUCCCCGCGAUGCUGGCAGCGCUGGGUUAUAGUGACAGUACAAGAGCAGCAGCGCGCGGGAAGGGACGCGUGAGAUACCUUCUGCCGUGAGGCUGGCCGGCGGGCGAGCGGGGGCUGCGGCCUCUCUGGUUCACGGCUUGCACCAUCAGCCGUCCCGUGCAGCUGACGCGGCCCUGAGGGGACAGAGGGGACCGACGGUUAGCGGCCGGCGCCCCCGCACCGCCACCGUCACCACCGCCCUGGUCUCCACAGGAUGCUCUUCCCAGCAGACCAACGUGCCGCACCAGCGCGACCCCAGCCUGUCUCUGAAACACGUCCCCCGGGACGUCUUGUGAUGAUGCCACUUUCAAGGUCAGAUACCUACUGCUGGAAGCUAACUCUGAAAUCAAACCAGAUCAUUUCAGUUUUCUUUUUAGUUACAUAUUCAUUAAAUGUUAGUGGUAUCCCUUCCCAAAACCGCACAUUGAAGGAGCUGCCGGCAUGAAAAAAUAAGCUUUACGUAACAAGCAUGCCCCGGGGCGACAAGGAGCAUAAUGACUGUGGGACACCUUGUCCCCAUAAAAUGAGAAUAUUUGAGAUUUAAAAACCAGAGCAGUUAAUGCCUGAACCCAUGAGGGUCACAGGAUACGGGCCUAUCGAAUGAAAAGCUGUAUUUUAUAAUCCUUUAAUAAAAUUUUUUAUUUGAAGUAUAAAGUCUAUAG